rnacentral:rRNA from 1 species
GAUGGACGCUGGCGGCGUGCCUAAUACAUGCCAGUCGAGCGAACAGAUAAGGAGCUUGCUCCUUUGACGUUAGCGGCGGACGGGUGAGUAACACGUGGGUAACCUACCUAUAAGACUGGAAUAACUCCGGGAAACCGGGGCUAAUGCCGGAUAACAUUUAGAACCGCAUGGUUCUAAAGUGAAAGAUGGUUUUGCUAUCACUUAUAGAUGGACCCGCGCCGUAUUAGCUAGUUGGUAAGGUAACGGCUUACCAAGGCAACGAUACGUAGCCGACCUGAGAGGGUGAUCGGCCACACUGGAACUGAGACACGGUCCAGACUCCUACGGGAGGCAGCAGUAGGGAAUCUUCCGCAAUGGGCGAAAGCCUGACGGAGCAACGCCGCGUGAGUGAUGAAGGUCUUCGGAUCGUAAAACUCUGUUAUUAGGGAAGAACAAAUGUGUAAGUAACUGUGCACGUCUUGACGGUACCUAAUCAGAAAGCCACGGCUAACUACGUG